ACAUGCCUAAAGCAUAGCGUUAAUGCAUUGGAUCCCAUUAGAACUUUGUAGUUAAGCGCGCUCAUGCUAGAGUAGUACUGGGAUGGGUGACUGCCCGGGAAGUACCAAUUUUUUACAUGCC
rnacentral:rRNA from 1 species